GCGGAGGAAAAGAAACCAACAGGGAUUGCCUCAGUAACGGCGAGUGAAGCGGCAACAGCUCAAAUUUGAAAUCUGGCCUCUAGGGGUCCGAGUUGUAAUUUGUAGAGGAUGUUUCGGGUACCGCUCCGGUUUAAAUUUCUUGGAACAGAAUGUCAAAGAGGGUGAGAAUCCCGUCUUGGACCGGUGGUAGGGCCUAUGUGAAACUCCUUCGACGAGUCGAGUUGUUUGGGAAUGCAGCUCAAAAUGGGUGGUAAAUUUCAUCUAAAGCUAAAUAUUGGCCAGAGACCGAUAGCGCACAAGUAGAGUGAUCGAAAGAUGAAAAGCACUUUGAAAAGAGAGUUAAACAGUAUGUGAAAUUGUUGAAAGGGAAGCGCUGGCAACCAGACUUGCGCGCGGCGGUUCCCCCUUCCUUUUGGUUGGGUUACUCCGCCGUGUCCAGGCCAAUAUCGGUUUUGGGGGUCGGUCAAAGGCGUUGGGAAUGUACCUACCCUCCGGGCGUAGACUUAUAGCCCAGCGUGUCAUGCGACCUCCCGGGACCGAGGAACGCGCUUCGGCUCGGAUAUUGGCGUAAUGGUUGUCAGCGACCCGUCUUGAAACACGGACCAAGGAGUCUAACAACUAUGCGAGUGUUUGGGUGUCAAACCCGGAACGCGUAAUGAAAGUGAACGGAGGUAGGAAGCCUUUUGGCUGCACUAUCGACCGAUCCUGAUGUCUUCGGAUGGAUUUGAGUAAGAGCAUAAUUGUUGGGACCCGAAAGAUGGUGAACUAUGCCUGAAUAGGGUGAAGCCAGAGGAAACUCUGGUGGAGGCUCGCAGCGGUUCUGACGUGCAAAUCGAUCGUCAAAUUUGGGUAUAGGGGCGAAAGACUAAUCGAACCAUCUGGUAGCUGGUUCCUGCCGAAGUUUCCCUCAGGAUAGCAGUAACGUUUUCAGUUUUAUGAGGUAAAGCGAAUGAUUAGAGGCCUUGGGGUUGAAACAACCUUAACCUAUUCUCAAACUUUAAAUAUGUAAGAAGUCCUUGUUGCUUAAUUGAACGUGGACAUUUGAAUGUAUCGUUACUAGUGGGCCAUUUUUGGUAAGCAGAACUGGCGAUGCGGGAUGAACCGAACGUGAGGUUAAGGUGCCGGAAUGUACGCUCAUCAGACACCACAAAAGGUGUCAAUGCAUCCAGACAGCCGGACGGUGGCCAUGGAAGUCGGAAUCCGCUUAGGAGUGUGUAACAACUCACCGGCCGAAUGCAUUGGCCCUGAAAAUGGAUGGCGCUUAAGCGUGCUACCUAUACCUCGCCGUCAGGGUUGACAUGAUGCCCUGACGAGUAGGCAGGCGUGGAGGUCAGUGCCGAAGCCUUGGGGGUGACCCCGGGUCGAACGACCUCUAGUGCAGAU
rnacentral:rRNA from 1 species